rnacentral:ncRNA from 1 species
UUGAAAACAAAGAUAAGGAUAAGUAGAUUAUUUAAUAUAUGGAUUAGAGACAGUAUGGUUGGUGAAAAUACUGAUAUGAGUAAUUGAAUAGCACCUUAGAGUGAUCAAAUGAAAUUAGUAGUUUGAUCCGGUACAUACCGUUAUCAUGUUAAGAGAUCAUAUAUGUAUAUAUAUGGUAAAAAGGGUGGCAACGCGAGACAUCGUCCCUUUA